rnacentral:rRNA from 1 species
GACGAACGCUGGCGGCGUGCCUAAUACAUGCAAGUUGAGCGCUGAAGGUUGGUACUUGUACCAACUGGAUGAGCAGCAAACGGGUGAGUAACGCGUGGGGAAUCUGCCUUUGAGCGGGGGACAACAUUUGGAAACGAAUGCUAAUACCGCAUAAAACUUUAAACACAAGUUUUAAGUUUGAAAGAUGCAAUUGCAUCACUCAAAGAUGAUCCCGCGUUGUAUUAGCUAGUUGGUGAGGUAAAGGCUCACCAAGGCGAUGAUACAUAGCCGACCUGAGAGGGUGAUCGGCCACAUUGGGACUGAGACACGGCCCAAACUCCUACGGGAGGCAGCAGUAGGGAAUCUUCGGCAAUGGACGAAAGUCUGACCGAGCAACGCCGCGUGAGUGAAGAAGGUUUUCGGAUCGUAAAACUCUGUUGGUAGAGAAGGACGUUGGUGAGAGUGGAAAGCUCAUCAAGUGACGGUAACUACCCAGAAAGGGACGGCUAACUACGUG